rnacentral:sRNA from 1 species
UUAGAGGAUAUUCCAGACGUCAAGCCAUA